rnacentral:lncRNA from 13 species
AAAUUAUUGUAGGAAAUAUGGUUAAGCAGAGCUCGAAAAAGCGUACGCACCUGACAAAAAUUAUGCGCCUGUUGUUGUCCCAGUGAAAUGUUGCGGAAAAAAAAUGUGUCAGUGGACUCCGAUCACAGACUGAAUUAUCAUCAUCAGAAUCAUACGACAGCAAGUUCACACAGAAUUUAAUGCGUUACGACAGAGCGAAACUGUUCGUGCGCGAGAUUCGUCUUUUUAGCAAUAAAGAUCGCGGGAAAAUGCAGAGCGAAUUCGAAGGCGAUUCAGCGACGCGUUUCUGACCACGGUUCGAGAAUUAUCGAAGAGCCGUCUUGCGAAUCUCCAUAUAACGAUUGAUCGAAGCAGCGACAAAAUAAUUAUGAGGUUAUUUUGAAACAUCUGAAUAAAUGUUAGAAAUGAAGAGUAGAUCGAAUUACUAUGAGAAAUGUGAUCGAGCAGAGCUUGAAAAUAUGCACCUGGCAAUAAUUAUGUGCCUGUUGCUAUUGCAGUGAAAUGUGUGCGAAGAAAAUAUAUUCAACGAAUUCCCCCCUCCUCUCUCUCCACGUAAACAGGAGGCUUUAAUUGCCAUUGUUAAUAAUCGUGUAAUAAACAAUUUCACACAACACUCGACGAGUGUUCGCAAGAAAUGCGGAACGAGUUUGAACUUUAUAGUCACCGCGACGCGUUUCGCGACCAGAGAAGACAAAACUUUCUGUUGCAAUUGCAGAAUGAAUUCGAGAAUUAUCGAAGAGAAUUAUGCUACGAUUCUCGAAGUAUCAAAAAAGUCGAAACCGCGAACCAAUGAAUAGCUGUUUCGCGAUAGAAAAGCCUGUAAUCCAUAAAAUGUAAACACUGAACUACGUAGCCACAAUGUCUGUGAAUCCCGUAGGUAAUGUCCACGAUUUUGGCUCUCUUCCGUUCUAUGACCAGAAACAGACAGGUUGCGCCGUAAAUUUUAAAAUUAUAAUUAGUGUGGGAGGUAAUUUCUCCAACAGUGAAGUAGGAUUCACUUCAAUCGCAACCAACUCUUCGUCGUUCAACCAAUUUAAGUAAA